UUGGGUGCAGCUGCAUUUCAUCUGGUC
rnacentral:piRNA from 1 species